UUUCUACUCCCCCCGUCUCAAUUUUUUUGUUUUAGAUUUGUCUACAUAUGAAUGUAUCUAGUCACGUUUUAGUAUUUAGAUACAUUUAUUUCUAAACAAACCUAAGACAAAAAUGGGACGGAGGGAGUACUAU
rnacentral:pre_miRNA from 1 species